GUCUACGGUGAUACCACCCUGAACGCGCCUGAUCUCGUCUGAUCUCAGAAGAUAAGCAGGGUCGGGCCUGGUUAGUACUUGAAUGGGAGACCACCUGGGAAUACCAGGAGCUGUAGGAU
ensembl:rRNA 5S_rRNA 5S ribosomal RNA